UGCCUUUUGAAGUAAACAAACACUUUGUAUAAAGGUUUGAGCACUCUAGCUCAAAAAUUCAGCAACUACAAAAUUGCUUCCUAUAGCACGCUUCUGUCAGCAAAUUAAGAGCCAGAAUGGAGAUGUACACGCUAUAUACUGCAUACAUAUAGUAAUCGUAAACAUGCGAUAUAAGGCCAUUUGAUGGCAGUCCCACCGUCAGCAGCCUUGCAGCCAUCGUGACGUCACGAGGGCGUUCCCUCCCUGUGAGCCAGGUGCGUCUCACCUGAGCUCGGCAGUUCUUCCGCUAGCGACGGGAGCUGCAGCAUCCUCAUCCUCCUUCUGAAGAUGACGGCGCUGAGGUACAUCGGCAGCUGCCUGCCGUUAUUCGUCAUGGCGAUCGUCUUCGACAUCCUCGGUGUGGUCCUGCUGUUCGUCGGGAUAUUCGGUAACGUGCGGAUGCACGGCGUGUUUUACGGGGAUUUCCUCAUCCACACCGGCGCGCUGGUCUUGUUCGCCAGCCUGGCCUUGUGGCUCAUGUGGUACGUGGGGAACAUCAGGGUGAAGGACGAAGGUUUGGCGCGCAGAUCGAGUGCCGCGCACAGCGUCAAAAAGCUCGCGAGGAAACUCACGGAGAGACUGUCCAAAACACACCUGAAGGACAACACCGGUGAGAAAACAGGAAGCAAAGCUUCCACCAUUCGAAACGUAACAUGGGGAAAAUCCACCUAUUUCCCAGGACACAAAGAUCCUGAAUCGGAUUUGAUCAAAUGUGAUGAACUAUCCAAAGAAAAGUCUGCUGAUGAUCAGUUCAUGUGCUACCAGAAUCAAGGCUACGAGGACGAGGAGUCAUGCAAACCGAUUCAGGAGACAGAUGACCAGACCCGGUCAGAAGACGGUUCUGAAUCAGAUGUGAGCAAGUGCAACGAAGAGUCUCAGGAGAAGAAGGAAGGGCAUGAAGAAUCAGAAUCAGACGUGACCAAAGAUGCUGAUAAAGCUCAGGAGGAGAAGCCAGUUGAUCAGCCAGAGAGCAUUGAUGUUCUGCUGUGAGAAGAGGUCCUAAAACAAUGACUGAAUAGCCAAGAACCUUCAGUAGUCGUCAGACGUUUGCCAUCAGCAGUACAUUUAGAGAUACUGCGUACAAUUCAAAUAGUACUAUAGUAAAACUGCUUGAAUAUAGUGAAACACAACCCUCUGUUGUGUUUAUAUGGGGGUUGAAGUUUCUCAGUGGCCUGAUAUCUGUAAAGCAGGGUGGCUGAUUUAACACUGUAAUACAUUUUAUGCACACCAAACUGGUGAAAUGAAGUGAACUACUUGCACAGAAAUCAUUAGAAGAAUGUAUAAUGCUUCGACAAAACUGUUGUUUCACCAGCUGAAUGCUGAUCAUCUCAAAAUGGCCAAAAUAUUGUCUGAUGUAUAGACAUUCAAUGUGUGUCACUGUGUCCACUUGUGUUGUGUUCUUGUUAUCAUUGAUAUUCCGUGUUGUUGUAAAGAGCUACUCAGGUACAGCCCUUGUUUUUUGCACAUCCUCAUUUGUAAAUUCACGCACCACCUCAUGCAUUGUAGGAAUCCAUUUCCCUUUCAAAGUGAAAGCUGAGUGUUCAUGCAAACUCCUUCAGAGUCAAGCCAUUUCAUUUGUUACACUCAAUGUUGUCACCAGCGACCAAACCAGUCCGACAGCAAAUGGACUGAUAGUUUAUUCAUGCGAUCUGUUAGUUCAUCUUGGUACACAAGUGAAAGCUGUAUAUAUAUAUAUAUAUAUAUAUAUAUAUAUAUAUAUUUCAAAAUAUACAAAAAAGGUCAAAAUGUUUUCUAAAAUGUUUUAAAAUUCAUUUAAUGUAAAUAUCUUUUCUACCAAUAUAUUGUAAGCCUUUUUUUGUAUAUUUUACAUUUUUAUUUUAAAUUAUGGUUUAAAAAAAAUGAUUUUGCCCUUCAGAUAUUUAAAUCCAAGAAAAUACAUUGUAACAAUGUUAUCAUUUUUACAGUAUUUUCUUGUCUCCAAAAUACAUUUUUAAAUAUUUAUGAAGUAUAUAUAAAUACAUUUUAAAUUUAUAUAUAUAUAUAUAUAUAUAUAUAUAUAUAGAUAUAGAUAUAUAGAUAUAGAUAUAUAGAUAGAUAUAUUUAAUAUUAUUGAGCUUGACUGCUUACAGCAUGUGUUUGAAAUAUAUUUUGUCUGUUUUUUUGUUUGUUUGCUUUUUGGUCAUAUGGGUUUAUCCAACAUUGCUUUAGUGGAAAGAAAUCAAUCAAAUCAAUUGCUUAAAUUACUGCUAAUUAUUGUGGCUACACAAAGAAUUAAUUCAACUAUAAUCAACUAUAUUUUUAUUUAUAUAUUCUUUUUUCAGUAGUGAGCGAGCUAUGCUUGCGUAAACAUGCUAUGAAAAAUUGGAUGACGUAUGUAAAUAUAAAACAUGUAAUCUUGACAUGCCAAACAAAUCCUGACUAAAACACUCCCUCUUUCACUCACAAUACUGUAGUUGCUGUCGUUGUAACCAAUGCAAUAUGAAAUGCAUGUAAAGUCAAAGCUGUUUUCAGUUUGUAUAAAUGAUACACACUAUUAAACCACAUUUCACCCAUAUGACUGUGUGGUUCAUUAGUGAUGUUUGUUUAGUCAGCAUUGCUUACGGUUAGUGAUUUGAUCUAAUGCCUAACCUUUAAUUUUCAAAUUGAAUAAUGCCUCAAUUCGUGAGACUUCCUGAAACGUGCAGUGUGUUUCUGUGACUCAUACUGGUUGUUUGAGAAUUACGUAACUGAGAAAACAACUCAGCAAAACUUGUAAUGCUUCAUCUGCGCCGGUGCUUUGACGAAGGCUUUUCUCUGUCUGUGGAAAUCUCUGAAUCUGUUCUAGUUUAUCUAGUAGAUCCACUGUCACGGUGAUGAGAACAGUCUGAGGAAUAAUAUGCAAAAAAAUAAGUCUUGACAAUUCCAAUAGGCGUUCGGCAGGCAGUUGAACUUGUUUUGGUGGUUGCAUGCCUCCCGUCAAAGAAAUGCACUGCGUAAGAAUGUGGGUGAGCUGCUUUAUGAAAGUCUUGUGGAGAGAACGUUCCUGUCAUUCACUCUUCAGGCUCAUCAGCCUGCCAUACGUCGGUCGGCUCUCCUCACCUGAGCUUCUCCAAGAUGGACUGCAAGGAAAGAGUGGGACGCUGCUUCCUCUUUCUCUUCUUGGCUGUUCUGCUUGACGUAGCCGGACUAGCUCUCUUCCUCAUUGGCAUUUUUGCACCCAUCAGUUUUUGGGAUUUGUUUGUCCUGUCCGGACCGAUCAUCAUCUUCCUUAGCUUGGUGUUUUGGAUCUUUUGGUACCUGGGGAACCUAACGGUGCCAUACCGAGAACUCCUGCCCAAGUGAUCAUGGACUGGAGGAGGAAUAUGGACUGGAGAAGUCGAAUAAAUUAACUUCAGGAAAACAAAAGGACUUUGGGAAUCACUGAGUGACUAACAGAAUGGAUGAAUGACGUGUCACUUGAAGGCCUGCUGGAGUCAACCAUUUGAUCAUCAUUGUCUUUGGAAAUUAAACUCUUAACAGUGAUUGCCUUCUCAAGAAUGAGAAUGAACGUGGGGUGCCAGAAGAUAAACCCUGUUAAUGAAUUUUAACAGCGAAGGACUGGACAGCUUGACAUCCAAAAAAUCAGCUACUUCAAUUAGAUCUUCAUUUUUUUUUUGUCCAUUUUUUGAGCACAUCAUGAUCGUGAAAGACUUAUUUUUGAGUAUCAUGUGUAGUUCGCGCCUCUUUUUGGAAGAUCCUGUCAUGCACUUUAUGGAAAACGUUGGAAAACCUCAGGUGAACCUCUCAAGUGCUGAGCUUGACCAUAGACACUAUGAUUAUUGCACUGUACUGAAAGUGAAUUAUUGAUUUAUGAUCGAUGUCUUGCAUUUUCCACAGUCUUUUACCUUUAUUUACAGGUUUACAAAACCUGUUAUAACCAAUAUAACCAUUAAGAACAGAAAAAUGUUGAUGCUGAAUGUGAACACCUGUAUGAAAUGAUACUGUGGUUAUUGUGAAUGUAACGUAUAAGAUUAAUUUAUAAAACAAAGUUUUUGUUUGCUCAGUGACAAUCGGGGUGUCGUCUUCUAAAGUCUUUUGUUUUGGUCAGAGAUGUCUUUCUGGAAACCAGAUGAGCUGGAAACACCAGUGCAAACAUCAGCAUUGAGCGUGAGAGAUCCACCCUGUGAGCAUGACGCACAAUAUUUUUUUCUUUGUGAUUUUGCAUGAGGUGCUUCCUUGUCAAGGUGUCCAGUAUUUUGAGAUCAUGGGACCAGCCCAAUGCUACACGUUUCUCAGUAAACACCCAAUCAGUCAUUUUGACUGCAGAAUAAAUAGAUAAUGGUUGACAUUGGUUGAUAAUGGUGAUAUUUAUAUUGCUUUUCAGUGUUCAGAUCUAAAGACAUUUCUGUUUGGUACAAUGAAUACUUGAUGUUCAAUGUAAAUUUUGGAUACUGAAGCAAAACCAGUUGGGAUAGAUUAUGUAAUGGAUAGAAGUAAAUAAAAUCAAUAUUAAUAAAGGAAAUACACUGGAAAUGGCAGCAGUAUUAUUAUACAGAAUGUACAGCGCUGCUCAGAGUUAGCUGGACUUCAAUAAUGUUCUCAAAACAUUAGCACAGAAACACUUUAAUCAUGAUUUAUAGAAUGUUUUUCUGAAACAUUUUAGU
ensembl:lncRNA